CCAAUAGCGUAUAUUAAAGUUGCUGCAGUUAAAAAGCUCGUAGUUGAAUUUCGGGACCAAUAUGUCGGUCGUGCCUCGGUACGUACUGGCAUCGUUGGUUUCUCCCUUCUGAAGAACCAUGAUGUCAUUUAUUUGGUGUCGUGGGGAAUCAGGACUGUUACUUUGAAAAAAUUAGAGUGUUUAAAGCAGGCUCACGCUUGAAUACAUUAGCAUGGAAUAAUGAAAUAGGACGUUUGAUUCUAUUUUGUUGGUUUCUAGGAUCGACGUAAUGAUUAAUAGGGAUAGUUGGGGGCAUUAGUAUUCAAUUGUCAGAGGUGAAAUUCUUGGAUUUAUUGAAGACUAACUACUGCGAAAGCAUUUGCCAAGGAUGUUUUCAUUAAUCAAGAACGAAAGUUAGGGGAUCGAAGACGAUCAGAUACCGUCGUAGUCUUAACCAUAAACUAUGCCGACUAGGGAUCGGAUGAUGUUAAUUUUUUAAUGACUCAUUCGGCGCCUUACG
rnacentral:rRNA from 1 species